rnacentral:tRNA from 1 species
AUUACUUUGGCAGAUCAAUGUAUUAAAUUUAGAAUUUAAUUAUGUAAUAUAAAUAUUACAAGUAAUU